rnacentral:rRNA from 1 species
GACGAACGCUGGCGGCGUGCUUAACACAUGCAAGUCGAACGGAAAGGCCCUGCUUUUGUGGGGUGCUCGAGUGGCGAACGGGUGAGUAACACGUGAGUAACCUGCCCUUGACUUUGGGAUAACUUCAGGAAACUGGGGCUAAUACCGGAUAGGAGCUCCUGCUGCAUGGUGGGGGUUGGAAAGUUUCGGCGGUUGGGGAUGGACUCGCGGCUUAUCAGCUUGCUGGUGGGGUAGUGGCUUACCAAGGCUUUGACGGGUAGCCGGCCUGAGAGGGUGACCGGCCACAUUGGGACUGAGAUACGGCCCAGACUCCUACGGGAGGCGGCAGUGGGGAAUAUUGCACAAUGGGCGGAAGCUUGAUGCAGCAACGCCGCGUGCGGGAUGACGGCCUUCGGGUUGUAAACCGCUUUCGCCUGUGACGAAGCGUGAGUGACGGUAAUGGGUAAAGAAGCACCGGCUAACUACGUG